rnacentral:lncRNA from 1 species
GAAAAACAUGUCGCGAGGGCAAUUUUGCAAAAGUCCCCUCUCUAAUUUCUCCCGACCAAAUCCGCGCUCCCUCGUCGUUCUCCUCCGACAGAAGCCGCAGCUGCGCUGCUCCCCGCCGCUGUAGCUGCCCUGCUCCCCCGCUCCCCCGCCGCAGCUGCCUCCUGCUCCGCCACCGCAACUGCCGCUUGCUUGCCUCCCCAAGCUCCCCCUUCCUAAAAAAACCUUCGAUUUCCCCAGCUACCGCCGCGCUCUGCUUCGGCUGCGUCGGAACCGGCGUCGGCGAGCCCGGAGGCGCUGGAUCCGGUCCACCACCAACAACCUAAAGGCCGACGAGGCCGAUGAGCCCGACGACGACAGGAGAUGCAGCAAGCUAAACGCCGAUGAGGCCGACGACGACGGCAAGUAAAGGCCGUCGAUUUGCGGGCGUGGAAGAUGACGACGACAGCUUCACAAGGAAUACGAUCGCGGCGGCGUCUUCUUCGCUGUUUCUCUGGUGGAAGACCCGCGCCUGCGACACCGCGGCAGCAGUGGCGGUUGUCCAGUGGGCCGUGCCUGCUCACUUGGCAGCAGCGGCGGCGGCUACAAAUCUUCUCCAGCAUCUCCAAGUCCUACAGCCUGGGUCAUCUCCGUCACCAACGCCUACAGCCUGGGUAUGAACCUCUCUUCUCUACUCAUCUUUACUGAAUGUACUGAAUGUGCGUAGUCUCUGAACUGAAUUUUACUUAAUGUGCGUAUUCUCUGUCUACUGAAUUUUAGUGAAUGUACUCCUGUAAACUGAGAAUGUACUCUUGUAAAGUGUGCUGUCAACUUGUGAAUUUUACUUCUCAUGUUGGGCUCCUCUCAUUCUUUCCCCCAAUUCAGUAUUGUUGUGUAGAAAUUGAUUCAAAUUCUUUACAUAGCCAUUGAUCAAGAUCCACCAGUAAAAUAAGAUCCCCCCUUCUAUUUGUGUUACAAAUAAAACAUGUGCAAUAUUUUUAAAUCUGUUCAUUUGCUCAAAUUAACUCAACUGGUUCUACAAAUAAAUGGAGUCCAUUGGUUUGACUCCAUUCUGUCUAAUAAAUCAUGGUACAAACAGUUUCUACAGCCAUUCUCUUAUUCGUUCCUCUACAUGAGUACUGAUAGAGGUCCCAGAGCUGUGGAUGCAUCUAUGUGCUUGUGAAUCCAUGCUAAAUUGGUAAAUUCAGUUAACUGAAUUUGACUGAGCACUUUUGUACCAACAGUAAACUGAUGCUUGUAAACCCAAGGAUUGCAACAUAAAUGUUUACCGAAACAUUUGCAAACACAGAUCAUGGCAGUAAGACAUCCAUGUUGAGUAUGGCAUCCAUCUUGUGCAUUCAUAUGGUACUACAGCUUCCUGUAAACAGAUUAUUAUUUAGAUUAAAGAUUAUGCUGAAGACUAUGCCUAGCUAGAAUUUGUGUCGUGGCAGCAGCUGAAAUACCUAUUGCUAUGAGGCAAAGCUUUCUGCAGAUGAUACUCCAGUGCACAUGUGGCUGGAUGCUGGUGGCAGAAGUAACAGAUUGAUUUAGAUAAAUCUUCAAGACU